rnacentral:misc_RNA from 1 species
GCCCUGCGCUCAGUAAUUUGAAUUGCAGAAUUCCGUUCCUCCUCUCAUCUUUGAACGCACAUUGCUCCCGCCAGUAUUCUGUCGGGCAUGCCUGUUCGAGCGUCAUUACAACCCUCAGGCCCCCGGGCCUGGCGUUGGGGAUCGGCGGAAGCCCCCUGCGGGCACAACGCCGUCCCCCAAAUACAGUGGCGGUCCCGCCGCAGCUUCCAUUGCGUAGUAGCUAACACCUCGCAACUGGAGAGCGGCGCGGCCACGCCGUAAAACACCCAACUUCUGAAUGUUGACCUCGAAUCAGGUAGGAAUACCCGCUGAACUUAAGC